rnacentral:rRNA from 1 species
AACGAACGCUGGCGGCAGGCCUAACACAUGCAAGUCGAACGCCGUAGCAAUACGGAGUGGCAGACGGGUGAGUAACACGUGGGAACGUACCCUUCGGUUCGGGAUAACUCAGGGAAACUUGAGCUAAUACCGGAUACGUCCGAGAGGAGAAAGAUUUAUCGCCGAGGGAUCGGCCCGCGUCUGAUUAGCUUGUUGGUGAGGUAACGGCUCACCAAGGCGACGAUCAGUAGCUGGUCNGAGAGGAUGAUCAGCCACAUUGGGACUGAGACACGGCCCAAACUCCUACGGGAGGCAGCAGUGGGGAAUAUUGGACAAUGGGCGCAAGCCUGAUCCAGCCAUGCCGCGUGAGUGAUGAAGGCCCUAGGGUUGUAAAGCUCUUUUACCCGGGAAGAUAAUGACUGUACCGGGAGAAUAAGCCCCGGCUAACUUCGUGCCAGCCGCCGCCGU